GCAGCAGUGGGGAAUAUUGGACAAUGGGCGAAAGCUGAUCCAGCCAUGCCGCGUGUGUGAAGAAGGCUUUCGGGUUGUAAAGCACUUUCAGCGAGGAAGAAAGCCUCUGGGUUAAUACCCCAGAGGAAGGACAUCACUCGCAGAAGAAGCACCGGCUAACUCCGUGCCAGCAGCCGCGGUAAUACGGAGGGUGCGAGCGUUAAUCGGAAUUACUGGGCGUAAAGCGCGCGUAGGUGGCUUGGCACGCCGGUUGUGAAAGCCCCGGGCUCAACCUGGGAACUGCAUCCGGAACGGCCAGGCUAGAGUGCAGGAGAGGAAGGUAGAAUUCCCGGUGUAGCGGUGAAAUGCGUAGAGAUCGGGAGGAAUACCAGUGGCGAAGGCGGCCUUCUGGCCUGACACUGACACUGAGGUGCGAAAGCGUGGGUAGCAAACAGGAUUAGAUACCCUGGUAGUCCACGCCGUAAACGAUGUCGACUAGCCGUUGGGACCUUUAAGGACUUAGUGGCGCAGUUAACGCGAUAAGUCGACCGCCUGGGGAGUACGGCCGCAAGGUUAAAACUCAAAUGAAUUGACGGGGGCCCGCACAAGCGGUGGAGCAUGUGGUUUAAUUCGAUGCAACGCGAAGAACCUUACCUACCCUUGACAUCCAGAGAAGUUGGCAGAGA
rnacentral:rRNA from 1 species